UACAGAGGGUGCAAGCGUUAAUCGGAAUUACUGGGCGUAAAGCGUGCGUAGACGGUUUAUUUAAGUCAGGUGUGAAAGCCCCGGGCUCAACCUGGGAAUUGGCAUUUGAGACUGAAUAGCUAGGGUGCGGAAGAGGGAAGCGGGAAUUUCCGGGUGUAGCGGUGAAAUGACGUAGAUAUCUGGAGGAACACCGGUGGCGAAGGCGGCAUCCUGGACCAACACUGACGCUGAGGAGCGGAAAGCCCAGGGGAAGCAAACGGGG
rnacentral:rRNA from 1 species